rnacentral:snRNA from 1 species
GUGCUCGCUUCAGCAGCACAUAUACUAAAA